GCGCCGGGCGCAGACCAAUCGCGGCCGCCGGUGGGAGUAUUUGUUAUUCACAUGGAAGAGACUUGGCGCCGGCUAGGCCAGCUCAGCCCCCUCAGCCCAGAGAUCAGCCACAAGUGCGGCCGCUGUGCUCGCCUCACGCGGCGGCGGCGGCGGCGGCGGCGCUGACAUGGAGCUGCGGGCCCCCAGCGGGCUUCCUCACCGCGCCCUCUGCGGGGAGCAGGGAAUAAUUCUGCUACAAGGCUGAUUUCAAGGACAUGAAUUGUUGACCUCAUCCCAACAUCAGAACCUCAGAUGUUCUAAUUUUUGCACCAUUCCAGGCAAGUUGAUCUUAUAAGGAAAUAAAAUUGAACCUUAGGGGUCUGAUGGAAAUUCACUGUGACAUUCAAAUCAAGAAAACUUGCUGAUGCCCACAGAGCCUUUUCCCCAUGGGCCCUGAUGGUAGCCUCCAGAAGGUGCAGCCUCAGGUGGUCCCCUUUCUUCUGUGGCAAGAAUAAACUUUGGGUCUUGGAUUGUAAUACCACCUGUGGAGAAAAUGGUAUGCGAGGGAAAGCGAUCAGCCUCUUGCCCUUGUUUCUUCCUCUUGACCGCCAAGUUCUACUGGAUCCUCACAAUGAUGCAAAGAACUCACAGCCAGGAGUAUGCCCAUUCCAUACGGGUGGAUGGGGACAUUAUUUUGGGGGGUCUCUUCCCUGUCCACGCAAAGGGAGAGAGAGGGGUGCCUUGUGGGGAGCUGAAGAAGGAAAAGGGGAUUCACAGACUGGAGGCCAUGCUUUAUGCAAUUGACCAGAUUAACAAGGACCCUGAUCUCCUUUCCAACAUCACUCUGGGUGUUCGCAUCCUCGACACGUGCUCUAGGGACACCUAUGCUUUGGAGCAGUCUCUAACGUUCGUGCAGGCAUUAAUAGAGAAAGAUGCUUCGGACGUGAAGUGUGCUAAUGGAGAUCCACCCAUUUUCACCAAGCCUGACAAGAUUUCUGGCGUCAUAGGUGCUGCAGCAAGCUCCGUGUCCAUCAUGGUUGCUAACAUUUUAAGACUUUUUAAGAUACCUCAAAUCAGCUAUGCAUCCACAGCCCCAGAGCUAAGUGAUAACACCAGGUAUGACUUUUUCUCUCGAGUGGUUCCGCCUGACUCCUACCAAGCCCAAGCCAUGGUGGACAUCGUGACAGCACUGGGAUGGAAUUAUGUGUCGACACUGGCUUCUGAGGGCAACUAUGGUGAGAGCGGUGUGGAGGCCUUCACUCAGAUCUCGAGGGAGAUUGGUGGUGUUUGCAUUGCUCAGUCACAGAAAAUCCCACGUGAACCAAGACCUGGAGAAUUUGAAAAAAUUAUCAAACGCCUGCUAGAAACACCUAAUGCUCGAGCAGUGAUUAUGUUUGCCAAUGAGGAUGACAUCAGGAGGAUAUUGGAAGCAGCAAAAAAACUAAACCAAAGUGGGCAUUUUCUCUGGAUUGGCUCAGAUAGUUGGGGAUCCAAAAUAGCACCUGUCUAUCAGCAAGAGGAGAUUGCAGAAGGGGCUGUGACAAUUUUGCCCAAACGAGCAUCAAUUGAUGGAUUUGAUCGAUACUUUAGAAGCCGAACUCUUGCCAAUAAUCGAAGAAAUGUGUGGUUUGCAGAAUUUUGGGAGGAGAAUUUUGGCUGUAAGUUAGGAUCACAUGGGAAAAGGAACAGUCAUAUAAAGAAAUGCACAGGGCUGGAGCGAAUUGCUCGGGAUUCAUCUUACGAACAGGAAGGAAAGGUCCAAUUUGUAAUUGAUGCAGUAUAUUCCAUGGCUUACGCCCUGCACAAUAUGCACAAAGAUCUCUGCCCUGGAUACAUUGGCCUUUGUCCACGAAUGAGUACCAUUGAUGGGAAAGAGCUACUUGGUUAUAUUCGGGCUGUAAAUUUUAAUGGCAGUGCUGGCACUCCUGUCACUUUUAAUGAAAAUGGAGAUGCUCCUGGACGUUAUGACAUCUUCCAGUAUCAAAUAACCAACAAAAGCACAGAAUACAAAGUCAUCGGCCACUGGACGAAUCAGCUUCAUCUAAAAGUGGAAGACAUGCAGUGGGCUCAUAGAGAACAUACUCACCCGGCGUCUGUCUGCAGCCUGCCGUGUAAGCCGGGGGAGAGGAAGAAAACGGUGAAAGGGGUUCCUUGCUGCUGGCACUGUGAACGCUGUGAAGGUUACAACUACCAGGUGGAUGAGCUGUCCUGUGAACUUUGCCCUCUGGAUCAGAGACCCAACAUGAACCGCACAGGCUGCCAGCUUAUCCCCAUCAUCAAAUUGGAGUGGCAUUCUCCCUGGGCUGUGGUGCCUGUGUUUGUUGCAAUAUUGGGAAUCAUCGCCACCACCUUUGUGAUCGUGACCUUUGUCCGCUAUAAUGACACACCUAUCGUGAGGGCUUCAGGACGCGAACUUAGUUACGUGCUCCUAACAGGGAUUUUUCUCUGUUAUUCAAUCACCUUUUUAAUGAUUGCAGCACCAGAUACAAUCAUAUGCUCCUUCCGACGGAUCUUCCUAGGACUUGGCAUGUGUUUCAGCUAUGCAGCCCUUCUGACCAAAACAAACCGUAUCCACCGAAUAUUUGAGCAGGGGAAGAAAUCUGUCACAGCGCCCAAGUUUAUUAGUCCAGCAUCUCAGCUGGUGAUCACCUUCAGCUUCAUCUCCGUCCAGCUCCUUGGAGUGUUUGUCUGGUUUGUUGUGGAUCCCCCCCAUAUCAUCAUUGACUAUGGAGAGCAGCGGACACUAGAUCCAGAGAAGGCCAGGGGAGUGCUCAAGUGUGACAUUUCUGAUCUCUCACUCAUUUGUUCACUUGGAUACAGUAUCCUCUUGAUGGUCACUUGUACUGUUUAUGCCAUUAAAACGAGAGGUGUCCCGGAGACUUUCAAUGAAGCCAAACCUAUUGGAUUUACCAUGUAUACCACCUGCAUCAUUUGGUUAGCUUUCAUCCCCAUCUUUUUUGGUACAGCCCAGUCAGCAGAAAAGAUGUACAUCCAGACAACAACACUUACUGUCUCCAUGAGUUUAAGUGCUUCAGUGUCUCUGGGCAUGCUCUAUAUGCCCAAGGUUUAUAUUAUAAUUUUUCAUCCAGAACAGAAUGUUCAAAAACGCAAGAGGAGCUUCAAGGCUGUGGUGACAGCUGCCACCAUGCAAAGCAAACUGAUCCAAAAAGGAAAUGACAGACCAAAUGGCGAGGUGAAAAGUGAACUCUGUGAGAGUCUUGAAACCAACAGUAAGUCAUCUGUAGAGUUUCCGAUGGUCAAGAGCGGGAGCGCUUCCUAAUAGAUUCCACCCAGGAAAAAGCACAUGAUAACAAUACACAGAAAUCAGUGCUCAACCAGUAGAAUUUAACUGAUCUAUUGAAGCCCAUCUUGGUAUCUAUGAAAGAGUGGCAAAUAAUUUAAAGAUUUGUAUGGUAAAAUACCAGAAAGCUGAGUACGGUAAACAUUACAACAUUUACCUUACUAGGUUCUACAGAUGAAUCAGAAAAGAAAGAAAAGCAAGGCUUCUUCUACCAAGACAACAUAUAUCAGCUACAGCAAUCAUUCAAUCUGAAACAGGGAAAUAGCACAAUCUGAAGAGAUGUGGUAUAUGAUCUUAAACAAUGAACAUGAGACCACAAAAAUUCACUCCUGGAGAUCUCCGUAGACUACAAUCAAUCAAAUCAAUAGUCAGUCUUGUAAGGAACAAAAAUUAGCCAUGAGCCAAAAGUAUCAAUAAACGGGGAGUGAAGAAACCCGUUUUAUACAAUAAAACCAAUGAGUGUCACGCUAAAGUAUUGCUUACUCAUGAGCAGUUAAAAAAAAUCACAAAAGGAAAACUAAUGUUAGCUUGUGAAAAAAAAAAUGCUGUUGAAAUAAAUCAUGUCUGAUGUUAUUCUUGUAAGUAUUUUUCUGUGAUUGUGAGAACUCCCGUUCCUGUCCCACAUUGUUUAACUUGUAUAAGACAGUGAGUCUGUUUCUUGUAAUGGCUGACCGGAUUGAAGCCCUGGGUUGUGCUAAAAAUAAAUGCAAUGAUUGAUGCAUGCAA